rnacentral:snoRNA from 1 species
AUUGUUGUUGAUGAUGAUAUGAUCUCCUACAUCAUUGCCAAUCUUGAUUCUGAUUAUGAGCCAAUCAUCUCCAACCUAGUUAGGCGAGCUGAACCACUCACGGUUGGGGAGGCAAUUGGCCAACUUCUUAGCUUCGAGC